UACGAAGGGGGCUAGCGUUGUUCGGAAUCACUGGGCGUAAAGCGCACGUAGGCGGAUUUUUAAGUCAGGGGUGAAAUCCCGAGGCUCAACCUCGGAACUGCCUUUGAUACUGGAGAUCUUGAGUCCGGAAGAGGUAAGUGGAACUGCGAGUGUAGAGGUGAAAUUCGUAGAUAUUCGCAAGAACACCAGUGGCGAAGGCGGCUUACUGGUCCGAUACUGACGCUGAGGCACGAAAGCGUGGGGAGCAAACAGG
rnacentral:rRNA from 1 species